rnacentral:lncRNA from 1 species
GGUAGGUAUGGGAAAUGUUCAAAGUGAUUAUUCGGUCAAUAUUGGGAGGAGGUAUUAACUAUGCAAUACAACUGCAACAUUUUUAUGAUGGGUUGGAUGGAUACAGUAAACGACAUUUUGAUAUCAUAGCCAAAGGAGAUAUUUGGUCAAAAACGGGAAGAAAAUAUUCGAUAUAUUGGAGAAAGUUAGUGGUAACGAGCUUACAAAGGGUAUGAGCAAGGAGACAGAAAAUGCUAAAAUAAUAGAAUGUACACCCC